rnacentral:rRNA from 1 species
AAUAGAUACCCCGGUAGUCCACGCCGUAAACGAUGAGUGCUAGGUGUUGGGGGGACCCCCCUCAGUGCCGCAGGUAACCCAAUGAGCACUCCGCCUGGGGAGUACGGUCGCAAGACUGAAACUCAAAGGAAUUGACGGGGGCCCGCACAAGCGGUGGAGCAUGUGGUUUAAUUCGAAGCAACGCGAAGAACCUUACCAGGGCUUGACAUCCCGCUGACCGGUGUAGAGAUAUGCCUUUCCCCUUCGGGGGACAGCGGUGACAGGUGGUGCAUGGUUGUCGUCAGCUCGUGUCGUGAGAUGUUGGGUUCAGUCCCGCAACGAGCGCAACCCUUGUUUCUAGUUGCCAGCACUUCGGGUGGGCACUCUAGAGAGACAGCCGGUGAAAGCCGGAGGAAGGUGGGGAUGACGUCAAAUCAUCAUGCCCCUUAUGUCCUGGGCUACACACGUGCUACAAUGGCUGGUACAAAGGGCAGCGAACCCGCGAGGGGGAGCCAAUCCCAAAAAACCAGUCUCAGUUCGGAUUGCAGGCUGCAACUCG